rnacentral:rRNA from 1 species
AGUGAACGCUGGCGGUAAGCCUAACACAUGCAAGUCGAACGGCAGCACAGUAAGAGCUUGCUCUUACGGGUGGCGAGUGGCGGACGGGUGAGGAAUACAUCGGAAUCUACUUUUUCGUGGGGGAUAACGUAGGGAAACUUACGCUAAUACCGCAUACGACCUACGGGUGAAAGCAGGGGAUCUUCGGACCUUGCGCGAUUGAAUGAGCCGAUGUCGGAUUAGCUAGUUGGCGGGGUAAAGGCCCACCAAGGCGACGAUCCGUAGCUGGUCUGAGAGGAGGAUCAGCCACACUGGAACUGAGACACGGUCCAGACUCCUACGGGAGGCAGCAGUGGGGAAUAUUGGACAAUGGGCGCAAGCCUGAUCCAGCCAUACCGCGUGGGUGAAGAAGGCCUUCGGGUUGUAAAGCCCUUUUGUUGGGAAAGAAAAGCAGCAGGUUAAUACCCCGCUGUUCUGACGGUACCCAAAGAAUAAGCACCGGCUAACUUCGUG